GACGAACGCUGGCGGCGUGCCUAAUACAUGCAAGUAGAACGCACAGUUUAUACCGUAGCUUGCUACACCAUAGACUGUGAGUUGCGAACGGGUGAGUAACGCGUAGGUAACCUGCCUGGUAGCGGGGGAUAACUAUUGGAAACGAUAGCUAAUACCGCAUAAUAUUGAUUAUUGCAUGAUAAUUAAUUGAAAGGUGCAAUUGCACCACUACCAGAUGGACCUGCGUGUAUUAGCUAGUAGGUGAGGUAACGGCUCACCUAGGCGACGAUACAUAGCCGACCUGAGAGGGUGAUCGGCCACACUGGGACUGAGACACGGCCCAGACUCCUACGGGAGGCAGCAGUAGGGAAUCUUCGGCAAUGGACGAAAGUCUGACCGAGCAACGCCGCGUGAGUGAAGAAGGUUUUCGGAUCGUAAAGCUCUGUUGUAAGAGAAGAACGGGUGUGAGAGUGGAAAGUUCACACUGUGACGGUAUCUUACCAGAAAGGGACGGCUAACUACGUG
rnacentral:rRNA from 1 species